rnacentral:rRNA from 1 species
GAUAAACGCUGGCGGCGUGCCUAAUGCAUGCAAGUCGAACGGGUCUCGGGCUCCGGCCUGAGGUCAGUGGCGGACGGGUGAGGAACACGUACGAGACCUGCCCUUCUGUGGGGAAUAACCCUUCGAAAGGGGGGCUAAUGCCGCAUACGCUUGCUGGGAUAGGGCCUGGCAAGGAAAGGCCGGUGCGAACCGGUCGCGGGAGGAGGGGCGUGCGGCCGAUUAGCUAGUUGGUGGGGUAAGAGCCUACCAAGGCGGUGAUCGGUAGCUGGUCUGAGAG